GUGACUGCGGAGGAUCAUUACUGAACUGUCGACACGAGUUGUUGCUGGUCCUCAAAUGGGGGCAUGUGCACACUCUGUUUACACACCCACUCACACCUGUGCACCCUCUGUAGUUCUGUGGCGUNGGGGACCCUGUCCUCCCGCCGUGGUUCUAUGUCUUUACACACACUCNGUGAUAAAGUCUUAUGGAAUGUAUCUAGCGUUUAACGCAAUANAAUACAACUUUCAGCAACGGAUCUCUUGGCUCUCGCAUCGAUGAAGAACGCAGCGAAAUGCGAUAANUAAUGUGAAUUGCAGAAUUCAGUGAAUCAUCGAAUCUUUGAACGCACCUUGCGCCCUUUGGCUAUUCCGAAGGGCAUGCCUGUUUGAGUAUCAUGAACACCUCAACUCUCAUGGUUUGCCAUGAUGAGCUUGGACUUUGGGGGCUUGCUGGCCUAUGGUCGGCUCCUCUCAAAUGAAUCAGCUUGCCAGUGUUUGGUGGGAUCACAGGUGUGAUAACUAUCUACGCUUGUGGCCUUCCGCCAAGUAACCUUCA
rnacentral:misc_RNA from 1 species